GCAAUUUUUUUCUGCAAGAACACCAUCCCUUUCUCUCGAUCUUUGCUUCUUUACACCGCUUUUUCUUAGCUUUAAAAUUCCACAGCUACCCACAAUUCCCACGCACGCACGCACGCCCUUGGUUUCUAACUUGCAGCAACUCCACCCUCCGCGAUGUCCCUACUACACCCCCGUCACCACUUAUCAACACUCACUGCCUUUACUUUUCUUUUAUUUUUAUCUGCCUCAGCUACAACAGUACUACUCUCCCAGCUAGGCAGUGGAUCGCUUCAAGAGGGAGGGGAAGAUAAGGGAAAACGAAGUGGGUUACGGUCAUUUCCGCGAGUUCUGACUCAGAAGCGACACGGCGGACCAGGUUCUUCACCCCCUUCGUGUAGAUCCAGGUGCGACAAGUGCUCACCAUGUGAACCAGUUCACGUGCCAAUUCAACAUGGUUGGCGUAUGCCAUUAGAGUAUUACCCAGAGGCUUGGAGAUGUAAGUGUGGCAACAAGCUUUUUAUGCCUUAAAGAAAAAAACCAAGAGAGUACAAGAGGCAAAUACAGUGAAAAGAACUGACUUUCUAGCUUGCUAUGUUACUAUGUUGGUAACUGUAGCUACCAUUGGCUGGCUAUGGAGGUGGGUGCUUUUAUGUGCUUAUAUUAUGAUUUUGCCAUUGGACAGGGAGCUUUGGGAAUGUAAGUUGCUGUAGAGGUGAGGUUACUAUACCAAGAGACCAGGAUACCUCUCUCUUUUUAACGAUCCUUUCUUUUCCUUUUUUUUUUUUUUUUUGUUUUCUUCCAACAUGCCUUGAUGCAAGUUUAUUGAUCAUUAGACAUAUUGUAAUUAAGUAGAAAAGCUGUGAGUAAGAUGAGCUUCUUUAUAAGAACAGAAGUUGAAACGCCUGAGUUCUUACUCU